rnacentral:rRNA from 1 species
GACGAACCGUACAAACGUUAUUCGGAAUUACUGGGCUUAAAGGGUGCGUAGGCGGCGCGGUAAGUUGGGUGUGAAAUCCCUCGGCUCAACCGAGGAAUUGCGCUCGAUACUGCCGUGCUCGAGGAACCUAGAGGUGAGCAGAACUGAUGGUGGAGCGGUGAAAUGCGUUGAUAUCAUCAGGAAUACCGGAGGCGAAGGCGGCUCACUGGGGGUUAUCUGACGCUGAGGAACGAAAGCCAGGGGAGCAAACGGG